rnacentral:rRNA from 1 species
AACGCGAAGAACCUUACCUGCCCUUGACAUACCAAGAAUUUUGUAGAGAUAUAGAAGUGCCGAAAGGAACUUGGAUACAGGUGCUGCAUGGCUGUCGUCAGCUCGUGUCGUGAGAUGUUGGGUUAAGUCCCGUAACGAGCGCAACCCUUAUCAUUAGUUACCAUCAAGUUAAGUUGGGUACUCUAAUGAGACUGCUGGUGAGAAGCCGGAGGAAGGCGGGGACGACGUCAAGUCAUCAUGGCCCUUACGGGCAGGGCUACACACGUGCUACAAUGGUCGGUACAGAAGGUUGCGAACCCGCGAGGGGGAGCCAAUCCUUUAAAGCCGGUCGUAGUCCGGAUCGGAGUCUGCAACUCGACUCCGUGAAGUCGGAAUCGCUAGUAAUCGCGAAUCAGCAUGUCGCGGUGAAUACGUUCCCGGGCCUUGUACACACCGCAUAC